AUGAAACCGUUGAUGCAGACGAGUAAGCAGACAGGAUUUCUCCCAGAGAGCUGCCGGGUGGUGCGAGUGCAGCAGAAAGACGUUUGCCGAAUGGACUGCGGAGGGCAGGCUGAACGCGAAGGCAAGUAGGCGCUGACGGAGUCCCACCGUUACAGGGGAGGAUGCGUGCAGGCGCGUCAUGAGCGGACAAGCAAUUGUCAAUUUGGGUGGCACCGCAGAAGUUUUUCAGACUUUUGUCCCAAGA
rnacentral:ncRNA from 1 species